rfam:Ciona savignyi cont_24221, whole genome shotgun sequence.
GACUCCGUGGCGCAACGGUAGCUCGUCCGACUCCAGAUCGUAAGGUUGCGUGUUCAAAUCACGUCGGGGUCA